CCAGACUCCUACGGGAGGCAGCAGUGGGGGAUAUUGCACAAUGGGGGGAACCCUGAUGCAGCGACGCCGCGUGGGUGAAGAGGUAUUUCGGUAUGUAAAGCCCUAUCGGCAGGGAAGAAAUUGGACGGUACCUGAAGAAGAAGCCCCGGCUAACUACGUGCCAGCAGCCGCGGGAAUACGUAGGGGGCAAGCGUUAUCCGGAUUUACUGGGUGUAAAGGGGGCGCAGACGGCGAUGCAAGCCAGGAGUGAAAGCCCGGGGCCCAACCCCGGGACUGCUCUUGGAACUGCGUGGCUGGAGUGCAGGAGGGGCAGGCGGAAUUCCUGGUGUAGCGGUGAAAUGCGUAGAUAUCAGGAGGAACACCGGUGGCGAAGGCGGCCUGCUGGACUGCAACUGACGUUGAGGCCCGAAAGCGUGGGGAGCAAACAGGAUUAGAUACCCCCGUAA
rnacentral:rRNA from 1 species